rnacentral:lncRNA from 1 species
AUGCAUAUGUUCGUGGUCGCGCUUGCCACUGCCCUCUCCUCAAGGGCAUGUAUCAUUUCUUAAACUCUGCUAUCUUUUCCCAAGUCUUUAUUAUCUUGCCUAGCCUUGUACUAAUAUGUAUUGUUUGCUGCUAAUUACCCAAGAUAGUGCCUGAUGUUAAGGAUAACCUGAGAACACAUGCCUAAGUUUAUAAGAUAUGACAUGUGACAGUGUUGCUGCUGUUUGAAUGCUUCUACUGCUAGCUGCUUGCUUGAAUAGGUGUGCACUUGUGCUGGUGGUGGUGCUGCUACUGCUCAUUCUUGUGCUGCUAACAAAAUUGAAUAUAAUCAUUCUUGUUGGAUCAUGCAGACAUGUAUGUGCUGCUAAUUCUUGUGCUGCUAACACAUUCUUGUACUGCUCAUUCUUGUGAUGCUUAAGUUGUUGAUUGCCUAAUUUUAUUCAUCGUCUCCGGAAUAAAUUCAUUUGAUUGCCUACUACAUCUCCACUUAAAUACUCAUAAUGCUACUGUCUAGGUUUUGUUCAAUUGGACUGACUACAUAUCUCUUGUUAAAAUUAUGGUCUUGAUCUUUUGUUUAAACCUGAGACAUCAUGCAUAACUAGCUCUUCCUUUUCAGUCUAAACCUGAGACCUCUUUUGUUCUAUAUUCAGAUCUGACUGAUGGCCACAGUGCUGUUUUGCUGUGAUUGAUAAACCUGAGACUUCUUUUUAUUGUAAUAUUGAAGUUGUUUGGUUCUGGCCUCAGCAGCAGUACACUCUAAUUUUGGUGGCCUUUAUGUUCAUUCUUUUACAGGAGCUCCAGGCCUAUUUUUUUGGAGUGUGAAACCGUGAAGCCAAGUGUGAAGCUGUGAAGCCAAGUGUGAAGCAGUACUUAGCAAAGAGUUUUUGGUUCUGUACUUAGCAAAGAGUUUUUGGUUCUGAAGUGUGAAGCCAAGUGUAAAUUGUAAUAUUGUAAAAGUCUAAUGUAGUGUUAAUGAAUUAUAUCUGUUCUGUCCUAUUUGAAAUAAUGAUUAUGUAUGUUGAAAAGAUGUGAAAUGGAA